CAAAGGUGCCUCUUUUACCCCUUUCAUCCAACAUUCAUUCGUCCAUCCUAUUCUUGGUAUUAACUUCCCCUUAGUAUUCUUGACAAUCAUAGGAUUCCCUCGUUUCUGUGUUAAUGUUUACAACAAUUGCCUUUUCUGGCUCAAAAAAUUAGAAUUGGUAUCAACGAUGGCAUUUGUGAUAAGUAGAAACUAGUUUCUUGACGAAAGAAAAUUCAUCAGACAUAUCAUGUCAUGAAAUGUGUAGGAAAUCUAUAUUUUGUUUGCUACACUGCAACGCUGACUCAAACCACCCUUAUUGCGGUUCAACUUCUGGGGUACAUGAAAUUAAUAAGUUUCAAGUUUGGCGCACGCCCUUGUUUUUUUUUGUACCAAUGUUGCGUCAUUUUCAGUUUACCUUUCUGAUUGUAUUUUCUUGUUGUGUUAGCUCUCCUUACUCUACCCUAUGGGAAAGGAUCCGGUAUUAGCUUGUGACAGCCCAGCUUAGCACAUGUUUAGUCUAAUCUAGCCAAUACACCCUUCGGGACAAUCUUUAACCGGAAAAGCUUUAUCCAACUCGGAUUCGGAAAGGUGGAUGGCUCAUAGUUUUCGAGAAGGAAAGACAAGUUGUCUAACAAACGAAUGAUGAUUUUAGCGUCUCCUCAAGUUAUGACGGAUGAUCAGGCCAUGUCUAUUGGAAAUUAGUACUUAUAUGCUCCAGUGGAUUUCAGAUUGAUUUUGCUUAGAACAGCUUGUGAUUUUGAAGAACAGCCAUGGUGGCCACAGUGAGUGUUUGCAAGGCCCAAAAUAUGCUACAAUAUGGUAGAGACUAAUUGUUGUUUGGGACUAUGGCAGCCACUAUAGUGGAAGUUUGGCUGCUAUUUUUCUGCUCCAAAAUGGGCUCGUAGUGACUGGAUUAAGCAUGCAUUUUUAGGAAAUUGGUCUAGCUUAGCUUGUAAACCAGCUCAGGCCGAGUUAACCAAUCAAAUUUAACUCAAGCUACUGAAUAAAGUUACUUUUCAACCCCAUAAUUUUGCCUUACCAUAACUAUGUAUCUGAAUCUCACUCAUUUCUAUCAAUGUGUGGAUGGUGGUUGAUAAUGUGAAUAUAUAUAUAUAUAUAUAUAUAUAUAUAUAUAUAUAAUAANNNNNNNNNNNNNNNNNNNNNNNNNNNNNNNNNCAUUUGCUGUUUGCAUCUUUUGAUAUUUUAGGUCACAUGACUUUUUCACUGGUCCAAUUGUAAUCCGCUUUCAGCUGUAAAAUCACAAAUACUUGCUGUGCUUUUUUGAGGGUUUGGUCGUGCAUGCACUUGUGGGCUUGUGCGUGUAUGUACAUGUAAUAGAUGUUUGCAAGAAAGCAACUAGUUAAUAUAAUAACAUGGCAUGCAGAUUUUGCUAUAUGGAUAUGCCUGUUUGUACACUUAACCUCCUAAUGUUGAAAUUUUAGUGUCAAGGAGGAAGUUCCAAGGAGAGGUGCUUAUCUUUUUUCAUCAAUGUUGAUGGGUAAGUUUCGUAUCUUUGAUUUUAAUCACUAAAGCAGGCAUCCUUAAUUUGUUUACCUUUCACUCUUCCUGUGUUAUAUCUGGCUUUCUAUUUUCUUGGCAUUCCUUCUUAAUCUUGUAGAGAGUUGGCAAUUUGGAUGUGUUUUAGAGCUAAAUGUGGAUGGAGAGGUUCUGUACGGGUAUUAUCAUUUUUCAGCAAAUACAUAUAUGACUACCACCAUUAAGCAUCGCAAUUGGAACUCCACUUUUUGGCUGUUAUCUUUCACUGUUUACUUGCAGGCUUUUGAGGAGUGCAAGAUAGGCUAUGCCAAAACAAGACAAACUUUGAAACUUAACGAUUACAGAGUAAUCACUGAAAUUGAUCUUCAGCUAGAGCCAUUAUGUACAGAGGUGCAUAGUUUAACUUUGUCAGGACUGUCAUCAUGAUUAUUAUGUAUUUUUUUGACAUAUUGUUUUAUAUUUUUUCUGAACUCAUUUUUAUAAUUUGUUAUGUAGCUUCAGGUUCAUCAGAUGAUUCUGAUAAGAUGUGUAGACUUUUCUCUUCCAUGUUUGUUUCUCCUGACGUGCACAAAAGUGAACCAUCAUUAGUUUCAUACCUAUGACGCUUAAUCUUCUACUUUUUAAUGUUACUGCUAAAACAAGUACCUAGUAAUUUUCAAUGCUAAUGGAAGAGUUAAAUCUUAAUAGUUAUACUGGCAACAAUUUUUGGCUUCUGCCUUUUUGUUCCGCUUGGGGUCACUUUUCGUAAUCCAAUAAGUGCUUCUGUAACUGUUUUGGUGCUUUUCUUGCCUUCUACCUUUACUUUGAACUGCAUAGUUUUGACUUUUGAGGAUCUCUUAUGAUAAUGAAAUUUAGGUACAAUGAUCCCUCUGAUAUAGUAGUACGUUGUUGUUAUUGUUAAGUAUAUCAUCAUGGAGUUGACAGUUAAAGUUCAAUUACAUUCUCCUGCAUUUACGUUUCAGCUUAUUGCAUACUUCGCAGAAAGAUCGAUAUCAGCAAAAACUCUUGAACGAAAUGGCAUCAUGCAGUGUAAACAUGAUGAUCAGGUUUGAUUGCAGAGUUUCAGUAGUUGCUUAUCUUGAUGGCAGGCUCCUUUUUACCUAUCAUGAUAGUGAUUGAAGUAUCCUGUACUAGUUGCUCUCCUAAUUUGGUUGUAUCCCGCACAGAUCGUUAUUGCUUUUACCUACAGGAGAAAUGCAGCUCUAGUAAGCUGCAAAUACCUUGCAUCCUCCAAAGAAUGUUGGCAGGUUUAUGCAGUGUCUUGUUAGCUUAAAAAUAAUCGUAGUGUUUUUUUCAUGAAAUACACAUAUAAUCUGUCUUGCUAUUUACAUAAUGUUCUUUCUUUCCAUCUACCAGGAAACGGGCACGGAACAUAUUUUUUAUGGACUUGAUGACAUAAAGCAAGCUAGCGAUGUUAUAAUUGUAAGUCUUUUAACUGUUAUAGAUAUAUUUGUACAUUUUUGUUUAGUCAGAUUCUUUCUUAUAUCCCUCGUUGUUUAGUCUCUUCUAUAUUUCUUCUGUUAAUGCAGGUCAAUGGUGAAAUAGAUAAGCUCUCUAUGGAGGAGGCUGGUUUCCCCAAUUGUAUUAGCAUACCUUAUGGACUACCUGAACAAUCCUCCAAAGAGCUACCUGCUGAGGAUGAGGUCUUAACCAGACUUGAAACUAAAAGUGAUCUUUCUUAGGUUUUUGAAUUCUCUGAUACUAAUGCAAGACUAGAAAUUUUUUUGCCUUCUUAAAUUUUUGUAUUGUAGCUUGUUUAAUUGUUUUACCUUUAUGAGCAAUCAUCAUUCGUUAAGGCUUUAACUACAUUUACAAAUCCUAAGCUUGCAACCUUUGGUGUUUUCUUUUUUUUGGAGGAUGAUGUCAAAUCAAACAGGCAACACUUGAUAUGUUACUUUUAAUAUUUUGUUGUUACAUUAUUGAAGUUGUUUUCUCUAAUUAAUCCUUCCCAACUUUUCAUCUCUUUGUGUGCAAAAGUAAGCUCACAUCAAAUCUCUUGUGCUUCACAUAUAGGUAGUAUCUUUGAUUGAAAAUGACUCUGCACACUCUUUGACUCACAAACUCUACUUGCGUGUUGGUGCCUUAUAUCUAAUGGUUUAGCAUGUCUGUGAAUUCUUUCCUGACUGCAUAACUUUAGGUAUGAUGCCCAUGUUUAAGUCACUUUAAAGAUUUAUGGCACAGCUCUAUCUCUGAUGGGACAAACAAAAGAAAAAAUGAAAACAAAGAGGUUCAAGCACUUGAAACAUCGGAAAAGAAUCUUGUUUAAUUUUGUGUAAUUCUUUCGAUUCUGAUUUUUGUAUGUUGGUUAUUUGCUGCUUUAAGCUUGUCUUCCAAAGGUACGCUCAUGCUCACGGGAUUAAACAUAUUCUCCCCUUAUUAGUUGUUACAAACACAUGACGACCACCAUAAAUGGAAGUACUGUUGAAAAACAGGUAAAGUUAGAAAAGGUCUUGGUUUUUCCAAGAUUGAGGAGAGACUGAAUAUGGGAUGAGGUAAAAUAACAUGAGAUAUUACUGUAUUGUGCACAUAGGUGUUUCAUGAUGCCGAACUAGGUGGUCACUUUUUAUUUUCCUAGUACUUUCAUUCUUGGGAAUGGUAAUAUUGCUCAGAUACCAUGCUAUAUCUUAUAAGGAGGUAGGGGAACUUGUUUCACUUUGUAAAGGUUUUUAAAAUUAUUGUGGAUGUUUCUCGUUGGAUCAAAC
rnacentral:lncRNA from 1 species